AUCGUUCGCUAUCUUUUUUAUUAAGCUAACGAGAGGCAUCGUCAAUUUUCCUUUUGUUUCCUUUUUCUCUUUGGAUAAUCGCGUGCGACGUUUGUUACGCUGCGAUUCCACCGGUAAACAACGGAAGAAUUAUUAUGUACCGUUUCUGCGAUAAUUAGUCGAUACGUAUUCGUGAGAUAGAAAUCCGGAAAUUCAAUAGCAACUAACGAUCACUCGUGGAUUACGAAUGUAACGAUUUACGAUAAAAAUGUAUUACACGUGUUUCUAGUGUUGCAAGCAGCUUUGAAACGUGCAUCGAUAAUAUCGCUGAUCGCCUCAAAUGGGACGUCAAGUACUAAAACAGUGCCGACCUAUCGCUUUAAAUUCAAUGGUGUGACAUAAAAAUAAUUUCCUCCUCGAUUGGAUGAGAUCGACGCGAACGAGACGCGAAAGGAAAGCGAAUUAAAUAAAUAAGUAGGUCGUAAAUUCUCGGAAGCGUUAUGCAUCCGAGGCACCGGCAGAUUUCGCUAAAUCAAGCGCAAUUACCGAUCCGUCGUCUCGUCUGAACCUGCAAUUCCCCCAUUGCCCUUACCUUCGCAACGAUUCCAGUUCCUACCCUGGAAUCACUCAAUCCCCGUUUACCUCUCCCGUUCGCGCAAUGUUUGCGCGCAGUCAUGGCACCAGCAAAGUGGCCCUAUCAAUAUUAAUCGCAAUAUUUGCCUGGCAUGCUCUUCGUCGCACUCUCUAUUACCAAUUAAUCCGGUCGUGCGAAGUAUGCUGCGAACGAGCAGAUAGGCCAUAACGCGCGAGAUGAAGCGAGGGAACGAGAGAGUAAGAGUGACCAGGGGACAAAUAAAAAUGAUGGAAGAAGAAAGACGGACAGAGAGGAAGAGAAAGAACGGGUGAGACAGUGAGACGGUGAAGGGGAAAGCGAGAGGGGCCAGAGAGAAAGAGAGAGAAACGACUCGUUGACGGGUUAGAUAUUGUGUCAGCCGAGUCGUCCAGCAUUAAAAGUAAUUACGACGUGAUUGACCGAGGGCCCGUUGGCCGAGGGUGAGGCGACGCCGAGGGGAAGGCUAAAUCAUCGGAGUGACGCACGUAGCUCGUUGUUGCCUCCCAAUUAUACAAUCAGCGAGACCAAGCAGAGGAGAAGCGAGAGGGAAAAACCGAAAGAUAGACGGAGAGUGGGAAGGCCAGCCCGUGCAGCAGAAGAAAGAAGCAAAGAAUAUACUUGGAUCUUGUAUCUCGUGACGGACGAAAGACGAGAAGAGACGGUGGCGGAAUUACGUCAGGAACGUAGUGGGGCAGUCGUGGUCGUUCGAGUCGGCGAAGAUCGGUGCCAUCGCAACGAUAAUUGCCAACCGGAACCACUAGCGCGACCGGGGAUGGAACGACCAUCUCUCGAACAUCGACUUUUCACAGCUACUUUCAAGGACAACGUUUGGUACGCGUAAACGUUACAGAUUCGAGGGAAGGUGUUUGAAUCCGCCCCUGUGCAAGACGAGAAGAAGAGGAAGACGGACGAAGGAAGAUGGACCGAUCGCGAUCGUUAUCGUCUAUUAUAAAGUCGAGUAAGUUGGCCUGUGAUGCAGCUGCCGUUUUGUACGGCGAUGACGACGGUGGUUUAUAAGUCGUGAUCUAGAAACAAAUGAGCCAUUGUGGAGGACAAUCGUUCCGUUAAGGACGGGAGGAGGGCCAAAUAGGCGUGAAGAAUCGAACGACCGAGCUGGCAAGAAGAAGUAAUCGAUUUCGAGAUGGUUUCCGUCGUACUGCGACGACGUCUAAUCCAACCGUUGCAAAAGGAAAACACAUUUCGCGCUCGAACACCUCCCAAGUGCUACGCGCUACCAUUCUUCAUCCGUUUAACGUUUGUUCCUCUCCGCGAAUCAACGUGCGAGCUUCACUUAAACGUUUCUAUUCUUACGUUACUUUUCCACCAAAUUGAUCCUGUGAUAUCGAAAUAACAAAGAAACAAACUUGGACGAAAGUACUAAAACUGUUCGGCUAGAUAUAAAAAGCGAGCCGAAGAAUGCUAAGAACAACGAAACGAAAUUGAACGAUACCACACCUGUACUCAAUUAGGUCGAGUAUUUAACAGGUUUCCCGCGCGACCAAACGACGAACGAUGGAACACACAGAGAAGCGAGGAGAAGGAAGUGAGCGCAGAACGAUCCAGAGCAACGGAACCAGUAGAAAUCUCUCGCUACCUUUUCCAGACCUCCAGCGGCGCAGCGAUCGAAAACGAUCGAAUAGACCAAGGAACCGUACGACGUUUCGCGGAACACAACGGCUCGUAAGCGGCCGUCGUGCAGGCGUUAAAGAUCUGAUGCCCACUAAUGACGAAGUCUUGUGUUCACGUGUUGACACUAACUGAUCACGAAAAGGAGGACGAAGAAGUGUCAAUGAUUGCUUCGCUGUGUCAUCCUGUCCGUUUGAUAAAUGGCUGGAAAUAUCGGAGAGAAUAGGGUACCGAGAAAUCAAGCGUCCGAUAGAAGAAUCUCCGGACGGAUCCGAACAAGGGCUGGUCGUGCAGGCGUUAAGGAUCCGAUGACGCUAAUGACGAGGCCAUGUGUCCGCAUAUUGACGCUAACUGGACUGACCGCGAAGAAGGAAAGCAAGAAGGAUACGAAAGAAGAAGCAGAAGAAGAGAAGAAAGAUAAAAGGGGAAGAGGUGGCGAUGGUUUGCAGUACCACGAGUAGAGUAGAAGACCGGUGUGCACGGAGGUAACGGAGGUAACAAACGUCUCCUCGAGGCCUCGAGUGUGGUAGAAAGGCGGAGGAGGGAGGGCCGCGGCAAAGGGUUCUUCCGAGAGUUAGUCCGCAGAGGUGAGAGGCAGAUCGUCUCGCGAGAAGGACCGCGCUCGAGGGAGAAGGAAGAUGAGAAAGCCCCAGGCUCGAGCCCAGCACCUCAUUACCCGAUAAUUUACUACGCGAGUAAUUAACUGGGCACACAAACGGUGCCACGUUAUAUACACCCUGCGCGCAUAUAUACGCCUCGACGACUCUUCCCUGGCUCUUUUCGAUUCUGCAGGCUCAUAUAUUACCGGUGUCGCGUCCUCCUGCCGAUCUAUUUAUCCAUUCGUCUGUACGUGAUGAACCUUCGACGUGCGAGUGCACGUAGGUAUUUCCAAAGACCAGUCUGACGAUAAUCGCUUAAACGAUAGAAAAUGAGACGACAGAGACGGAACCGUGUGCGGAACAUCGCCACGGAAUCGUACGCAGUUCGGUGCACCGUGUUUCUUUCGUUCGCACGGUUAUAAAUGCGACGCGAUAUUCCUCGUUCGCGCCUAACGUGUUGUAUGCUUACAAAGCACCGGCAAACGAGUGUAUAUAUCGGGGGAUAUCGUAUGUUACGAAAGAAAGUAUCAAUCGAAUCCUCGUUACGUGUGGUACACGCUUGUUUCAUGAUCUAUACGCUGUGUUAGCCAUUCUUCUGUAUUUGUACUUUUUAACGCAACGUUACAGGCAGGUACACUUAGUCCGAUAUUACCUAACAAUGUCUCUCUGAAUCUCGUGAGAAGCUUUAACAUUUAUCUGGGAAUUUACGACCAUUUACCUUACCUGCUUGUCAUAAAUAAGUUUGUGCAAGUCA